ACCAUCGGAACAUGUAAAUAUAUUUCUUCUCCUAUUAGAGUCUUUUUCUCUAUGGGAAAAAAAAGUAUAUAUUCUGCUUUAUCCAGUGAAUUCAAAGCCUAAAUGUUUACAACAAACUGCGAGCGAAAGUUGAAGAAUAGUCAACAAACAUCUUCGCUGAAUUCUUUGAACGUUAACCUUCAUAGCAAGAGCGUGGAGACGAGAAACACGUCCACUGUUGGCAAAGAAUAUAGAAAGCUAUCAUUUUGAUGAUUUUACUUUUGAUUUCUCUUCUUCGCGUUUAUAUCAAGAAGAAAGUCGCGAUAAAAUCAGGCUGCUAGAGGUAUAUUCUUCAAACCCACAAGGACAAGACAAAAUUGUAUAUGAUAUAUGCCAACUUUACACAUGAGGACAUUCUUUUGAGGUAAUUUAGCAUAAUUAUAUCUUCCAUGCCAUUUGAUUGGAGCAGAAGAUAUAAGUUAUACCACUUGGUUCUCAGUAGCCCCAAUAUACUCACCCUCCAUUACUGUUAAAUGACUAUAUUAUGAAUAAUCAGAUUGGGAGGUGAAAUGAUAAAGGCAAUGUUGCAGGAAAAGUUGAACUCCUUUCAAGCGUCUUCGUUUUGUUUAUGAGUUGAGUUCUAUAUAGAAUACCCAGUUGAAUUGAUAAUUAUCUUUUGUUCAUUGUAUUUACACCGGAACAGAUUAAUGUAUGAUUGUUCUGUAUGAACUUGUAACUAAUUGGAGUGGGAUAGUAAUUACUAUCUAAAACAGUUUGAAACGGA